GCUGGGGUAUAGCUCAGUGGUAGAGCAUUUGACUGCAGAUCAAGAGGUCCUUGGUUCAAAUCCGAGUGCCCCCUAGCA